rnacentral:rRNA from 1 species
AGAUGGCGACCGGCGCACGGGUGAGUAACACGUAUCCAACCUGCCGAUAACUCGGGGAUAGCCUUUCGAAAGAAAGAUUAAUACCCGAUGGUAUAAUCAGACCGCAUGGUUUGAUUAUUAAAGAAUUUCGGUAUCGAUGGGGAUGCGUUCCAUUAGGCAGUUGGUGAGGUAACGGCUCACCAAACCUUCGAUGGAUAGGGGUUCUGAGAGGAAGGUCCCCCACAUUGGAACUGAGACACGGUCCAA